rnacentral:lncRNA from 1 species
GGCUGAAAUCAAGCGGAACUCGUAUAUACUAAUCAAAUUAAGAUUUUCGCGUUCCGUCAACUUGAGAAGCAUUGAGAAAUGAUGAUUUGAUAAUAGAAAAAGUUUAGUUCAAAAAUAAGAACAUUCAAUUUUGACCGGAAAAACUGUGUGCUAUAGCAAGGGGUUUUAAGCCGAAAUUAAGCGAAACUCGUAUAUUAUAUUCGGAUUAAGAUUUUCUGGUUCCCUUAGUUCGAGAAGUUCUCAGAGAUGAUAAUUUGAUAAUAGAAAAAGUUUGGUUCAAAAAUAAGAACAUUCAAUUUUAACAAAAAAACCGUGUGCUAUGAUAAGGGGUUUUGGGCCGAAAUCAAACGCAACUCGUAUACAUUAAUCUAAUUCAGAUUUUCGGGUUCCGUCAAUUGGAGAAGUUCAUAGAGUUGAUAAUUUGAUAAUAGAAAAUGUUUGGUUCCAAAAUGAAAACAUUCAAUUUUGACCGAAAAAACUGUGUUAUAGGAAGAGGUUUUAAGCUUAUACCAAGCAAGUCUCAUACAUACUAAUCAGAUUAAGAUUUUCGUGUUCCGUCUGCUGUAGAGGUACUUAGAUAUGAUGAUUUGAUAAUAGAAAAAGUUUGGUUAAAAAAUAAUAACAUUCAAUUUUGACCAAAAAAACCGUGUGCUAUAGCAAGGUGUUUUCGGCCGAAAUCAAGCGGAACUCGUAUACACUAAUCGAAUUAAGAUUUUCACGUUCCGUCAGUUCGAGAAGUUCUAAGAUAUAAUGAAUUGAUGAUAGAAAAAGUUUGGUUCCAAAAUGAAAAUAUUCAAUUUUGACCGAAAAAACGGUGUGCUAGUAAAGGGUCUUGUGCCGAAAUCAAGCAGAACUCGUAUACACUAAUCUAAUUGAGAUUUUCGGGUUCCAUCAGUUCGAGAGGUACUUAGAUAUGUUGAUUUGAUAAUAGAAAAAGUUUGGUUCAAAAAUAAGAACAUUCAAUUUUGACCAGAAAAACCGUGUUCUGUAAGGGGUUUUAGACCGAAAUCAAGCGGAACUCGUAUACACUAAUCGGAUUAAGAUUUUCGCUUUACGUCAGUUUGAGAGGUACUGA